CGUUUUCUAAUAUCCCAUUUGGGCUUUCUUUAAGAUCAGAGGAAAGUGAUUCUGAACUUAUUGUUGAAUUUGAUACAAAGAGGGAUGCUAAGUAUGGUGAUUUGAAUGACAACCACGUGGGAAUUAAUGUGGGUGGUUUAGUAUCAGUUGAGGUGAAAAAUGCUUCAUCUGCUAAUGUGGUGUUGAAUGAUGGGAAGAGAUUGAGUUCAUGGAUUGAUUAUGAAGCGAGUUCCAAGAGGUUAG
rnacentral:misc_RNA from 1 species